AGGGAGCUUGCUCCCGGAUGUUAGCGGCGGACGGGUGAGUAACACGUGGGUAACCUGCCUGUAAGACUGGGAUAACUCCGGGAAACCGGAGCUAAUACCGGAUAGUUCCUUGAACCGCAUGGUUCAAGGAUGAAAGACGGUUUCGGCUGUCACUUACAGAUGGACCCGCGGCGCAUUAGCUAGUUGGUGAGGUAACGGCUCACCAAGGCGACGAUGCGUAGCCGACCUGAGAGGGUGAUCGGCCACACUGGGACUGAGACACGGCCCAGACUCCUACGGGAGGCAGCAGUAGGGAAUCUUCCGCAAUGGACGAAAGUCUGACGGAGCAACGCCGCGUGAGUGAUGAAGGUUUUCGGAUCGUAAAGCUCUGUUGUUAGGGAAGAACAAGUGCAAGAGUAACUGCUUGCACCUUGACGGUACCUAACCAGAAAGCCACGGCUAACUACGUGCCAGCAGCCGCGGUAAUACGUAGGUGGCAAGCGUUGUCCGGAAUUAUUGGGCGUAAAGGGCUCGCAGGCGGUUUCUUAAGUCUGAUGUGAAAGCCCCCGGCUCAACCGGGGAGGGUCAUUGGAAACUGGGAAACUUGAGUGCAGAAGAGGAGAGUGGAAUUCCACGUGUAGCGGUGAAAUGCGUAGAGAUGUGGAGGAA
rnacentral:rRNA from 1 species